UUAUUUAAAAUUUAUUUGUCUUUUACAUUUUUUGAUUAAAAUUUUUAAGUUACAAAGUAGCUACGUAGUUACAAAUAUGUGCAGCCCAAUACGUUGUUUACCCGAUUACAAGGAACUCCGACCGAUCGAGCCCUGCUUUCCUGUUCAGGGCCCGUGUUGUCUACCCUGUGGCAUUGACCCAGUGACGCUGCGGCGGCCGCUGAUCGUCCACGACAGCACGUUCGACUACCGCCCCACUAGUUGGCCCGGCAUGAUCGUCAACAACCAAGACAAGAAAGUCCGUUACCAGCUCAUCAAUUACGAAAGAGUUGUGAAACCGGUGUACCCUAUGUGUGCACCGUCAUAUUAGAAUCAAUUCAAUUUAACUCUAUUAGAAUAGCUCUCACAGAGACUUGGAAUUUUUACUGAGAUAUUAAAAAAUAGGUACAGCAAAAUGUGUGACAGAAUGAGAAUUUGCAGUCAACUACAGAACAUAAUGUCCGCUAUUAAAGGUGGACCUUGCGGUUGCGGACCGUGUUGCGGUCACUGCUGUUCACCUCCGCCGUGUUGCGGCGGCGGCUCUUACGUCACAGUUUACAGUCAAGUAGCAAAUAUCCAGUGACGCGACCUGCGCUCGCGAUUAUACAAGUCAUUUCACGUUUUCGUAUUUAACACGUUCACAGUCUAAAUUAUUUACCAAUGGAUUUACAACUGCGAACUCUAAAACGAAUUCCUAUCAAUGAUUUGAAAAACCACAAAUAUGAUGCCGUGUUAGCCGUGGGACAUCCUCCUCGGCCACUUCUGGCCUUCGAUCAUGCCGUCAUGGAAAUCGGAAAGCGGUGAUACGGCUGUCCUCAAGACCAUACCUACUAAAAUGCUACUAAAUUGCAGGUGUCUAUAAGUAUUUGACACUUGUUUUUGUUGACGUGCCGUCUUCAAGAGCUUAGUCUUCGAAACGUGACCCUGUUGAUUACAAUGUUAGUAUACUAUUAGUGACAGUCAAUAGGUGAAAGUUUGACCGGUUAAGUGAGCUCUUUGUGGCGUAAAAAUAUUGUAAAGUGUUAAAAUAAAAAUUGUAU